rnacentral:rRNA from 1 species
UUGGGGUUGCGGACAUAUCAUAACGAAGAGGUAUCGUAAUUGAAGAGGUUUGGAAAGACCCACCACAGAAGGUAAUAGUCCUGUAUGUUAAACGAGAAGACUUUAGAUAUGAUCCAGAGUACCACGGGACACGUGAAACCCUGUGGGAAGCAGGAGGGACCACCCUCCAAGGCUAAAUACUACCUAGUGACCGAUAGCGUAUAGUACCGUGAGGGAAAGGUGAAAAGAACCCCGGGAGGGGAGUGAAAUAGAACCUGAAACCCUGCACUUACAAGCUGUGGAAGCACAUUUCUUGUGUGACCGCGUACUUUUUGUAGAACGGGCCAACGAGUUACGUUAAGUAGCAAGGUUAAGCACUUAAGGUGCGGAGCCGUAGCGAAAGCGAGUUUUAACUGAGCGUUCAGUUACUUGACGUAGACCCGAAACCGGGCGACCUACCCAUGAGCAGGAUGAAGCGAAAGUAAAAUUUCGUGGAGGUCCGAACCCACGAGCGUUGAAAAGCUCGGGGAUGACUUGUGGGUAGCGGUGAAAUUCCAAUCGAGCCCGGAGAUAGCUGGUUCUCCCCGAAAUAGCUUUAGGGCUAGCCUCAAGGUGAGAGAUACGGAGGUAGAGCACUGAAUGUCCUAGGGGGUAUUGCACCUACCGAAGACUAUCAAACUCCGAAUGCCGUCAUCUUAUACUUGGGAGUCAGACUGUGGGUGAUAAGAUUCAUAGUCGAAAGGGCAACAGCCCAGAUCGUCAGCUAAGGUCCCUAAAUGUAAGUUAAGUGGUAAAGGAUGUGGGAUUGCACAGACAACCAGGAUGUUGGCUUAGAAGCAGCCACUCAUUCAAAGAGUGCGUAAUAGCUCACUGGUCGAGUGAUCCUGCGCCGAAGAUUUCCGGGGCUAAAACUUACUACCGAAGCUACGGCAUCAGUAAUGAUGGGUAGGGGAGCUUCCCAUACGGGUUGAAGCAUGACCGUAAGGACAUGUGGACAGUAUGGGAGUGAGAAUGUUGGCAUGAGUAGCGAGAUGUGGGUGAGAAUCCCACAGGCCGUAAACCCAAGGUUUCCAGGGGAAGGUUCGUCCGCCCUGGGUUAGUCGGGACCUAAGCUGAGGCCGAAAGGCGUAGGUGAUGGACAACAGGUUGAUAUUCCUGUACUACCGAUAACCGUUUGAGAGAAGGGAUGACACAGUAGGAUAAGCUAAGCACACUGUUGGUUAUGUGUGCCCAAGCAUUGAGGCAGUCAAAGUAGGCAAAUCCGCUUUGAUAAUGCUGGGAUGUGAUGGGGAGCGAAAUUUAGUAGCGAAGUAGCUGAUUUCACACUGUCAAGAAAAGUCUCUAUCGAGGUUAAAGGUACCCGUACCGCAAACCGACACAGGUGGGUGAGGAGAGUAUCCUAAGGCCAGCGAGAGAACUGUUGUUAAGGAACUCGGCAAAAUGACCCCGUAACUUAGGGAUAAGGGGUGCCACCAUCAGGUGGCCGCAGAGAAUAGGCCCAAGCGACUGUUUACCAAAAACAUAGGUUUCUGCUAAGUCGCAAGACGAUGUAUAGGAGCUGACGCCUGCCCGGUGCUGGAAGGUUAAGGGGAUCUGUUAGAGCAAUCGAAGCAGUGAACUUAAGCCCCAGUAAACGGCGGCCGUAACUAUAACGGUCCUAAGGUAGCGAAAUUCCUUGUCGGGUAAGUUCCGACCCGCACGAAAGGCGUAACGAUUUGGGCACUGUCUCAACAACAGACUCGGUGAAAUUGUAAUUCCGGUGAAGAUGCCGGAUACCUGCGACAGGACGGAAAGACCCCAUGGAGCUUUACUGUAGCUUGACAUUGGGUCUUGGUACUACAUGUACAGGAUAGGUGGGAGGCUUUGAAACCAGGACGCCAGUUUUGGCGGAGCCAUCCUUGGGAUACCACCCUUGUAGUACUGGGACUCUAACCAUAGGCCAUGAAUCUGGUCUUGGGACACUGUCA